UACGUAGGGGGCUAGCGUUGUCCGGAAUUAUUGGGCGUAAAGAGCUUGUAGGCGGUUUGUCGCGUCUGCCGUGAAAAUCCGAGGCUCAACCUCGGACUUGCGGUGGGUACGGGCAGACUAGAGUGUGGUAGGGGAGACUGGAAUUCCUGGUGUAGCGGUGAAAUGCGCAGAUAUCAGGAGGAACACCGAUGGCGAAGGCAGGUCUCUGGGCCACUACUGACGCUGAGAAGCGAAAGCAUGGGGAGCGAACAGG
rnacentral:rRNA from 1 species